AGGAAAAUAGCUAGUCAGUGUGCUGUGAUUUCUCCUCUAAAUACCUGGAUAUUUUUAAUAAUUAUUUUACAAGCCUAAGGUGAAGUGCUCAGUGAUACCCCAGAACAUGAGCAGAACUUGAACGUGAAGAUACUGAUUAUGCUGAAUCUGUUUGAAAAAUAUAUUCCAGAAGCAAAGAAAUACCAUUGAACAAGCCAUUGGUGUAAAAACAGUACUGUCCUCUGAAGUCUGCUCUGAAGUUGACAGUUCAUUGAGUGAUUUGUUCAAGAAUAUACAAAAUGCUUUGGAUCUCUAAGAGUAGCAUCCAAUCUGUCCUAUAAUAGGUCUUUCAACAGGUUUUUGAUUCACAAGAUGACAGUGCAGUAAUUGGAAAGCUCAAAGGAGCACUGGAAGCCCUGCAUGCCUGCCCUCAGCCGAGAGGGGAAUGCAAAGAUGACUACAAGGCAUGAAAGGAAGUUUGCCUACACAAGAGCCUUCUCCCAGUGUAAAUACAUGCUUGAUAGUGCAUCAAAGAUGAGAUCUUUGUAAUUCCUACAGUAUAUUUAAUGUAUAAUUUAUAUGAAAAGGACGCUUGAUUUGUAGUUGUAAAGUUUUGUAUACUUUUCAGUCUGUUUGUUUUUAUAUUUCCCCCCUAAGGCUAAGAAUAUCUCCACAAUGGACAACGCCUUGUAAAUAAUUAAUACCUACAUGAUUGAAUGACGUGCUUUAUUUGCAUUUUUAAGAUUUUUUUCCUACAUAAAACAGUAAUAAAAAUGCAAGUCAAAAUUUUAAUUUUUAAUAAAAAAACCAUAAGCCUUAGAAAACUGAUUAAAAAUACUUUUAUGUUAUCCCUAAUCACCCCGUUAAAUGGAAUGCCUGUGAUUAGCCUCAUUAAGAAUUUUAUACUGUGAAGAUUUUAUUAAAAGCAAUAUAUGAAAAUUACUUGGAUUAAUGUGUUAAUCUGCCUCUUUAAAAUGCUAAUAUCCAUUUUAUGCACAUUAAAUCUCAGUAUGUGUUUUCUUUGAUGCAUGCAGUUCCUAUCAAUUAAAUAUAAAAAAUUAGGCUAGUUGCAGGACUUAUUAAAUUACUGCACCCUUUUUUUAAAUAACUUUUACCCUUCUACUAACAUUAUAAUCAGCUGUUUAUGGUUACCAUAAUUUGAAGUAGGGGGAGGGCAGGCACAAUCAUUUUCUGUACAGGAGAUGAUUUUCUUGCAGCCAACAUCUGUCAAAGCACAAAAAGAAGCCAUAGACGAUCAGAUUUUGCUUCACCUACUUUGGGCUUUAGGGAUGGGCAACUGUUUUCAUUUGAGUUUUGUCACUUUUAGAACUUACAUCAAACAUAUACAAUAAAUUGUUGUAUCUGAAUAACUACUGUCUAGUGUGGAAAGUUAAUUUUACAGCUUUUAACCAAUCUCAGUGAAGGGUUUAAUUGAUAUUUUUAAUGGAGCUGUGAAUCAAUGCUGCAAAAGGAUUGUCUCUUGAGAAUGAGGAUAUAAUACAUUUCAUUUUUUAAUUUACUUUUUUAUUUGUCAUUUUCUUCAAAGGAUUUUAUAGACUGGAUUUCCACUGUUUGCAAACAGGCUAUGUUUCUUCAUAAGCAUAUGUAAAGUAUUCAGAGAGAUAAGUAAUUUAUUAAAAUCUACCUAAUUUGCCGUGAUAUAUUAAAUCUCUGCUUCAGUGAUCACAGACCAUUUCAUUUAGAGAAUUAGGCAUUCCCUCUUUGUGUGAUUAAAGCUCUGGAAAAUGAGUUCUUUGCUCCUAUUUGUGAACAUUCAAAGCCUGCUAAUGGCAAGAAGAUGGAAUAGAUUAUGAGACAAUUCAUUACAGUUCAACAGAAAAAAACCCCUGCUAUAAUGCAGAAAUGCAAGUAUGAAUAUCUGCAUAUAGUUUGAACCAUCUGUGCUCUAAUGCCUUCAGUAAUGGCUCUUCGU